GAUGAAGAACGCAGCGAAAUGCGAUACGUAAUGUGAAUUGUAGAAUUCAGUGAAUCAUCGAAUCUUUGAACGCAUAUUGCGCUCUCUGGUAUUCCGGAGAGCAUGCUUGUUUGAGUAUCAGUAAACACCUCAACUCCCCUUUCUUUUUUUGAAAUGGGAGCUGGACUUGAGUGAUCCCAACGCUUUUCUCACCGAAAAGUGGCGGGUUACUUGAAAUGCAGGUGCAGCUGGACUUUUCUCUGAGCUAAAAGCAUAUCUAUUUAGUCUGCCUAAAAAACAGAUUAUUACCUUUGCUGCAGCUAACAUAAAGGAGAUUAGUUCUUGUGCUGACUGAUGCAGGAUUCACAGAGACAGCUUCGGCUGGCCUUUGUAAACUCGAUCUCAAAUCAAGUAAGACUACCCGCUGAACUUAAGCAUAUCAAUAAGCGGAGGA
rnacentral:misc_RNA from 1 species